rnacentral:rRNA from 1 species
CGCGAAUGGCUCAUUACAACAGCUAUAAUUUACUUGAUCUUGACACAAUCCUACUUGGAUAACUGUGGUAAUUCUAGAGCUAAUACAUGCAUUAAAGCUCUGACCUCACGGGAAGAGUGCAUUUAUUAGAACAAAACCAAGCGGCUUCGGCUGUUUCUGGUUGACUCAUAGUAACUGAGCUGAUCGCAUGGUCUCGCACCGGCGACGUGUCUUUCAAGUAUCUGCCGUAUCAACUUUCGAUGGUAGUGUAUCUGACUACCAUGGUGAUCACGCGUAACGGAGAAUAAGGGUUCGACUCCGGAGAGUUCGCCUGAGAAAUCGCGAACACAUCUAAGGAAGGCAGCAGGCGCGAAAAUUACCCACUCUCAGCACGAGGAGGUAGUGACGAAAAAUAACGAGACCGUUCUCUUUCGAGGCCGGUCAUCGGAAUGGGUACAAUUUAAACCCUUUAACGAGUAUCUAUGAGAGGGCAAGUCUGGUGCCAGCAGCCGCGGUAAUUCCAGCU